rnacentral:rRNA from 1 species
GCUGGCGGCAGGCCUAACACAUGCAAGUCGAGCGCUCGUAGCAAUACGAGAGCGGCAGACGGGAGAGUAACACGUGGGAACGUACCCUUCGGUUCGGAAUAACCCAGGGAAACUUGGGCUAAUACCGGAUACGUCCGCAAGGAGAAAGAUUUAUUGCCGAAGGAUCGGCCCGCGUCCGAUUAGCUAGUUGGUGAGGUAACGGCUCACCAAGGCGACGAUCGGUAGCUGGUCUGAGAGGAUGAUCAGCCUCACUGGGACUGAGACACGGCCCAGACUCCUACGGGAGGCAGCAGUGGGGAAUAUUGGACAAUGGGCGCAAGCCUGAUCCAGCCAUGCCGCGUGGGUGAUGAAGGCCUUAGGGUUGUAAAGCCCUUUCGGCGGGGAAGAUAAUGACGGUACCCGCAGAAGAAGCCCCGGCUAACUUCGUGCCAGCAGCCGCGGUAAUACGAAGGGGGCUAGCGUUGCUCGGAAUCACUGGGCGUAAAGCGCACGUAG